GAUAGUAGCCUUUUUCAUUCUAUAAAUAGACAUAAUCCAGGACCAUAAAAGGAGAAGGUAGAGUUUUUUUUACAAAAAUCUACAUUCCCUAGAAUACUUUCCCAACCCUUUACUCAAAUCCCAAAAAGAAAUACAAACACUUUCAGUCCACAAAUCCCCCAAAAAACUACAAAAUAUCAAAAGCAACUUACAACUUCUCUGCUUUCUGUUGUCAACUACGAAGGAAUCGUCAAAGGAGCAUUUUGUCGUCACUCACGAAGGAGCCGCCAAAGGAGAAAGGUCCUAGGAACUAGGAAACGAGGAAAGGGUGUCGCCACCUAAGAAACCGACAAAAAAGGUCUGUAUUAAAGGUAUGUCUUUCAAAAUAUAUACUCUAUUCGUAAUCAUUCACAUAUCAUUCAUACAUACAUAUUGGUAUGCUUGAUAUGAUAUAUUGCCGAAUCACCGUCUAAACUACUCGUGAAUCCAAUGUUCACUAAAACCAGAUGGAUAAAUGAUUCAUCCUAACAAACAGUGGAAUAAUAAGUGAAAGUAAACUUUUGAAAUCAAAUAAAGGUCUCUAGUAAACAUAUGAACAAAAUAACAUACGACCAUCUAUCGUCAUUUCCGCACCAAGGACUCAAAGAGCUAUGAAACUAGCACAAUAAUUCCAAAAUUAGCAAGGUCUUCCCUUGAGUGUCUUUUGUCUUCUCACUUGAAAUUUAACAAAGAAAGGUUAGUUUCAUUAUUGGCUAAAAUUGGGUCUAAGUCAGGGAUUUUAAAAAAAACAAAAUUCUUUUUUUCUGCACUUGGGUUUCUCUCUCUGUCCGUUUCUUCUCCAGCCACCGGCCGCAUCAUUUGCAGUGUGGUCUCAUUUUCUUUUCUCUCCACCAAUUCCCCAACCCCAAAAAGAGUAAAAAAACGCAACUAAGGUCAAAAGGAGCAACAUAAGCGUAAAUCAAACCCUAUAUCUACAUUCGAGAGAAACGAUAGGUAGGAAGGGGGUUUCAGUAUUUUACCUUUCUUUUUUUCUUUCUCCGUCGUCGUUGUAAGGGGGAGGUAGUGGCGUUCUGUCGUUGUCGGCACUGUGGCUCAGUAGAGAGGGAAAAAAGGAAGAGAAGGAACGCGAAAGGAGGAGGCGACGUACGGAUGAGGAACAUCUCUUUCUUUUCAUUUGGCCCGAGGUUUUUGGUUGGAUGCAGCUUGAGU
rnacentral:lncRNA from 1 species